GGGUAUUGCCUACAGGGAGCAUUGUGACAUAUCACUGGGCCCAGCAUGCAGGUUCUGCCCACAAGGGAGAUUUUGACUUAUUGCUGUCCUCAAAAUGAAGGUGAUGUGACACUUUUGCCUUGGACCCACCCUUGAAGACAUUGUGACAUAUUUCUUAGCUCAGCAUCAAAACGAUGUGUCUUCUUAGUAGACUCUGCCAACAUGGGGCAUUGUGACAUAUCUUUGGGCCCAUCAGCUAUUGAUGUAACUCUCUUCUCUUACAUGGACUUUGCUCACAGAAGAGACUAUGAAAUAUCUCUGGGCCCAGCAAAUAGGUGAUGUGACUCUUCUCUACUGCUUGGGCUCUGCUCAUGAGAAAAUUGUGAUGGAUUGCUGAACCCAGCACCUAGGUAAUGUAACUCUCUUCUCUUGCCUGGGCCCGGCAUAAAUUGUGUAUUGUGACAUGGGGCUCGAUCACAAACCUAGGUAAUGCUACUCUCUUGCAUUGGCUCUGCCCACCAGGGUAUUAUGACACAACUUUUCAUUCAUCGCCUAGGCGAUGUGACCCCCCGCUUCUGCUUGAAUCUUGCCAAAAGAGGAAAUGAUAACAUAUCACUAUACUCAGCACCUAGGUGCCAUGACUUGCCUUUUUCCCCAGGCAAUGCAUAUAUUGGGA
rnacentral:lncRNA from 10 species